UACGUAGGGGGCAAGCGUUGUCCGGAUUUAUUGGGCGUAAAGAGCGUGUAGGCGGCUUGGUAGGUCCGCUGUGAAAACUCGAGGCUCAACCUCGAGAUGUCGGCGGAAACCACUUGGCUAGAGUCCGGAAGAGGAGAGUGGAAUUCCUGGUGUAGCGGUGAAAUGCGCAGAUAUCAGGAGGAACACCGGUGGCGAAGGCGGUUCUCUGGGACGGUACUGACGCUGAGACGCGAAAGCGUGGGGAGCGAACAGG
rnacentral:rRNA from 1 species